UACGUAGGGUGCAAGCGUUAAUCGGAAUUACUGGGCGUAAAGGGUGCGCAGGCGGUUCUGCAAGUCAGGCGUGAAAUCCCCGGGCUUAACCUGGGAAUGGCGCUUGAAACUACGGGACUGGAGUAUGGCAGAGGGAGGUGGAAUUCCACGUGUAGCGGUGAAAUGCGUAGAGAUGUGGAGGAACACCGAUGGCGAAGGCAGCCUCCUGGGCCAAUACUGACGCUGAGAAGCGAAAGCAUGGGGAGCGAACAGG
rnacentral:rRNA from 1 species